GUGCCAGCAGCCGCGGUAAUACGUAGGUGACUAGCGUUGUCCGGAUUUACUGGGCGUAAAGAGCGCGCAGGCGGUCGUGCAAGUCGAGUGUGAAAGCCCCCGGCUCAACUGGGGAGGGUCACUCGAUACUGCUCGACUCGAAGGCGGGAGAGGGAAGUGGAAUUCCCGGUGUAGUGGUGAAAUGCGUAGAUAUCGGGAGGAACACCAGUGGCGAAGGCGACUUCCUGGCCCGUUCUUGACGCUGAGGCGCGAAAGCUAGGGGAGCAAACGGGAUUAGAAACCCCGGUAGUCC
rnacentral:rRNA from 1 species